rnacentral:rRNA from 1 species
UUCCUACGGGAGGCAGCAGUGAGGAAUAUUGGUCAAUGGACGGAAGUCUGAACCAGCCAAGUAGCGUGCAGGAAGACGGCCCUAUGGGUUGUAAACUGCUUUUGUCAGGGAAGAAAAGGCUGUUGCUAAUAUCGACAGCUGAUGACGGUACCUGAAGAAUAAGCACCGGCUAACUACGUGCCAGCAGCCGCGGUAAUGGAA